rnacentral:rRNA from 1 species
GUGAGGAAUAUUGCGCAAUGGGGGAAACCCUGACGCAGCAAACGCCGCGUGUGGGAAGAAGGCCUUCGGGUCGUAAACCACUUUUGCACGGGACGAAAAAGGGAUAAUCGAACAAAAUAUCCCCGAUGACGGUACCGUGAGAAUAAGCCACGGCUAACUCUGUGCCAGCAGCCGCGGUAAGACAGAGGUGGCAAGCGUUGUUCGGAAUUACUGGGCGUAAAAGAGUCUGUAGGUGGUUUGUCAAGUCUUUGGU